GUCGGAUUGUCCGAGUGGUUAAGGAGACAGAUUAGAAAUCUGUUGGGCUCUGCCCGCACAGGUUCAAAUCCUGUAGCCGACG
rnacentral:tRNA from 1 species